rnacentral:tRNA from 1 species
AAGAAGUUAGUUAAAAAUAUAAUACAAGAUUGUCAGUCUUAUGUUACUAAGUUGGAUUUAGUACUUCUUA